UUUUAACUUCCCGAAAACGACAUUCAAUAUGUGGACGUAUUCAUUUGGACAGAAUGUUUUCCUACUCUUUGCUUUUUCCAUUUAUCACGUGACAUCUCAGAACACGGAAAUAUCUCCUUCCGAUCAAACCUUUAAUGGCGGAUCUCGAAGGAGCGCUAGUGGUACGGAACAAAUUUCAUCUCGCAGAGUUCCGAUAUGGGUCAGAUCUAGGCUAGUAACCAACCCAGCCAACCCGACCGUGCGACCCAGAACAACGAACACACGUGAUCGAACACGUGAUUUAGUGUGGAACCCGGCUAACGGUUUCGUGAGCUUUGCUCGACAAACCGGAAAUAACCGUUUACAGUCAAACGCUCUGACGGGGGAUACCUCAGACGGCGGGGCUAUUGACCCGAGUCAGAUUACAAACUUCAGAGUAAAUUCGGGUUUUCAGAAUUUUCCGGAAAAUAAAGGUGAUACAAACAGUUUACGACAAACUGAAUCUCAACGUAAUUUUAAGAGUGAUGGUAACAACAGAUUUAGCUGGAGAACUUCUAAUGAUAACAAUUGGCCGAGCUGGAGAACUGUUCAAACAAAUCAAGAUCAAAAUUCCCGUUUUGAAACAAACGCUGAAAGAAUUAAUCGCAUAGAAGCAGAGAAGAGACGGAUUAGGGAAGAGAAUAUCCGCAAAAAAUACAGAAACAACGCCUUCCUAAACACUCGAGGCCUGGUGUCCGGCAUCCGUCUCCCGACAAGAUGGCAGAAAACAUCACGUGACUCGAGUUUCUCUACCAAUCGAAACCGUGAAUUAACGUCUCCAGGAACUGAUGCAUCCAAUCAAAAUAGAGGACUUGCGUUUUCUAGACGAGCUAUUGAGCGUCCAGUAGUAAAUUUGAAUGAUGAACAGACAACAGACAUAGUUGACCGUCAAGCGGCACGUGAUCAGUUGAGACAAGUAUCUGUGUCAAGGUCAUCGGGAGCUAACAGAUAUCUGAAGUCUCUAUUGUAUAACGUACUCAGAAGAGUCAACAGUAAUUGAUUGUUCCAAAUAUCGAUAUUGAGCUAAUGACGCUUAUCUUUCGUAUUUCUGGUUUCAUUUUCUUUUAUUCAACUAAUUGCACUUUGUUUCUUGUUUCCUUGUAAUCCAUCAGUUUAACAGUAGUUGAUUUGUUUUGUCUGUAAUUAAGAACAUGUUGAUACAUAAAUGCAUAUCAAAUAAAAUAGUUACUAGAAAUGAU
rnacentral:misc_RNA from 1 species